GGGGGAUCUUCGGACCUCACGCUAUCAGAUGAGCCUAGGUCGGAUUAGCUAGUUGGUGGGGUAAAGGCCUACCAAGGCGACGAUCCGUAACUGGUCUGAGAGGAUGAUCAGUCACACUGGAACUGAGACACGGUCCAGACUCCUACGGGAGGCAGCAGUGGGGAAUAUUGGACAAUGGGCGAAAGCCUGAUCCAGCCAUGCCGCGUGUGUGAAGAAGGUCUUCGGAUUGUAAAGCACUUUAAGUUGGGAGGAAGGGCAGUAAGUUAAUACCUUGCUGUUUUGACGUUACCAACAGAAUAA
rnacentral:rRNA from 1 species